UCAUUUCUCCUUCACUCAUCCCCUGUUUGUACUGUACUGUUACCUAGUGCAUGAUGAUUCAAGGAGUGCAGUAUUUUCCUAACUUCAUAGACUAAAAACCUGAGGUGCUGAAGGUAAUAUCCUGUCAGGAAGAGCCAGCCUUUGAUUGGACCAACAGCAAAGUAAUAACAUCUAAUGUGCUUAUAUAUAGGACAGAUGCAUAGAUAACAGAAUGUCUCACUUGGUGUACUUAGGUUUGUCUAUUCCCUGCAUAAUAGAAAUUGCUACACUGGGGGAAAAAAAGACACAAGAUAAAAAUGCAGGAAACAUUUUUGCUCAGUCAAGCACAGGGCAGAUGCAUAGCUGCAUAGUUACAUAAUAUCCUGAGACGAUAUACUGGGUUCCAGCAUACUGGAGGGCGGGGGCUUUUGGCUGCACGCCUGCUAGAUGCAAAACAACACACAAUUCAACAUGUGGGUGUUGACUUUUGCAGCAGCUCUCAAAUGAACACAGUGCAGAAGCUGUUUUCUUAAAUAGCUGGUUUCACUUCUGGCCAUGAAAUGUUUUCAUUGUCUGUCCAUGCUUGUGAAGGACCAAAGCAAAAGGUGCAAACCUGAAGAAGUGUGUGUGGAAUGGAUCAUAUAAAAGCUUAGCCCUUUGAGGCCUUAAGCUCCCCUUUUCCUUUGAGUCUCAGCCUCUCUGUCUGCCAUUUCACAAAGAAUCAUGCUCUUAGAGUAGGGGAUUCAGCCGUGACUCACCCAGUGUGUCUGCUACUUUAAAAGGACUGCUGGAUCAGUUCCAGGGUCCCGGGCCGGGCUAUAACCUAUAUCUCCCUGCUGGGAGACUGUGCAUAGUCAGGAACAGAUAAACAAAGCACGGGAUCAAGUCCAAGUGGAAUUUCCCACCUCAUGUUUCUCAUUGUAGAGUUUUUAUUCGAUGCAUACUCAGAACUAAUGCCACUUCAUGUGGUAGUUGACAAAGUGCAAACCACUUCCAGCCACACUCACACCAGCAGUGUCUUCCUGUUGAAAAGAGGACAGCUCCCUGAGGAAAGCAACCUUCAUUAGUCCGUUGUCAAAGCAAACAUAUUACUGUAUCUAGAGAUGGAAUGGAGGGCAAUGUUUCACCAUCACAGCCAGGCAUCAUGAGACUGACAGAACCUGAUGAAUAAAGAUUGGUGAGGAUCUUCUGUGGCUGGUAUGGCUGUGGCUACGUGGGGAGCAGCUGCACAGGAUAAAAAUACCACCACAAAGCCUCCACAAGCACAAAAUAGCACCGUCAUUGUGCUUUUAGCAUGCAUGACAAAUACACAUACAGUAUAGUACUAGAUAAAUAAACAUGUCAUGAUGUCUUGAGAAAUA